rnacentral:lncRNA from 1 species
UCCCCUGCUCUAGUACGAUCCCCACCAGGUUCCUGAGUCCUCAUCCUCGUUUGCCAUUUCUUCCGAUUUGCCGCCGGCGAAGGAAGAUGUCACCGUUGGCCAUCAGAAAAUUAAUACCCAGGUUAUCCCAGAUCUACAUGUCGUUUAUUUUCUCUGAGUUUUGCUUCCAUGGGGUGGUGGCGCAUGUGGCUGGGUGAGUGCACGGAUCUCGGCAACCUCGUCGAGUCUGGAGACAUGGCCACGGAGAUUGCCAAGGAGAAUUUUGGUUGUGCUGCUUAUACUUGCCAUCGCCGGGUGCUUUGGAUGUUGGUGGCGCGGAGGUAGCGAGAGGGCUCACGGAGCAGGGAUGUGAAGCAUCUUCUGCGGGCGGCUUCUUACCCUGUUCUUUGUUGGUGUUGUCUGGAGUCCUACCAAAUGUAAGUGUUACUGCAAUCAUAUUAGUUUUGGUGAAGGGGAAUGAUCUAGAAAUCAAAAUAGUUUUUGUUAUCAUUAAAUUGCUAGUAAACAAUACUCAUAGCACAACUUUCCUUGUGGAAAAUGACACUUAUACUUAGUCCUCUAAAUUUUGCAGUAGAGAACAGAGUAAGGCAAACAUAUGGACCUGCCUGAAUUAAGUUGAUCUCAACCUAGCAAGUGAUUCUUCCAUCUAAUUAGUGAUGCACAGUAAAAAAGGAGGUUUACAUGCACUUUUACUCUGCCAAAUAGCAAAAGCAUAAGCUUGAUGUGAAACAUGCAUGUGCCUAGCUGCAGGUUAAGUUCUAAAGUUCAGUGAUUUUCGUGGGGCUACUCUUCUUUCUGGAUUCUUGCAUCUUAAUUACCACACAGAGGCAAUGGUAUUUGGUGAACACAUGGAUGCAAGGCAUCUGAAGUAUCCACACCCAUUGUUUUGAAUCUUGCUUCUGGAAUCUUGUUGUCUAAUGGUAGAGUUUUGAGGACUGAAUUAAGGUUCCUGCCACUUUUAUAAAUGUUGCAGGGCAGUACAGUUAUGGUUUCUGUACACCUUUUUUCUUUCUGGAUUCGGCAACCUUUUGUGCCCAUAGGAACCAAUAUUGCUGUAUAAUGGUAUAUUAUGUCUUCUGGUUCAUCCAUGGCUCUCCACUAUAAAGUGUUCUAUUCUUUUAUUUGUUGUUCCCAUGUCCUAGCAAGAAGGCCUUAAUUUGGUUCAUAUCUGUUAAUUGACAUGCAAUGGUUUGAUUUUUUAUGUGUUGGUGGUGCAGAUGAUAUUGAAGAUCUAUUAAUGGUUUUAUUAAACUGAAAAGGCUGUAUGAGGUAUAGGUGUUUAUUACCUACAACAAUAGCUGUCAAAAUUGCGUGUCUUCCAAGAAUUACAAUAUGAUGUGCUUUUGAUAGUGUUAACAUUUGCACUGUUAUUAUCUAAUAAGUAUCCUUCUUAUCCUGGUCAAUGUCAAGUACUCUUCCUAAAUCUUUGUGUGUACAUUAGUCUGCCUUACUAUUUAAUUAAUAAGCAACUUAUCCAUUAAUUUAUGGGUAGUUUCUUUGUUUUCCUAGGCUGUAAUUAUCCAUCAUUAUUCUAUGACUGUAAAAUCAAAUGCAUUUAAAAAUAAUACAUGCGUAAAAAUCUAAAAGUGCGUAUGGUGGGAAAAUCAAUCUCCCUUUUAGCUGGCAUGUCUUACUUCUUCGUUUUUUGUUCCAACAUGGUGUCCACUUUGUCAUCUAUCAACUGCUUGGCAUACUGCAAGAUAAAUCAGUGAGGAAAAACAGAAAAGAUAAUAGUUAUUUAUUUUAAUGAAUUAAAUACACCUUUAACUCCUUGGCUUUUCCGUUCAAGUACAACAUCUCAAGCCAGGCAUAAUUGUUUUGUUAGAUGACAGAAUCGAGCAUCUGAGUCUUCAUCGUUAAGCAAUGUAUGCAUGACUUUUAGUUCAAUGUCUUAUUAGUACUCCCUCCAUUCCUAAAUAUAAGUUUUUUUUGGAGAUUUCACUAUGGACUACAUACGGAGCAAAAUGAGUGAAUCUACACUCUAAAAUAUGUCUAUAUACAUCCGUCUGUAGUUUAUAGAGGAAUCUCUAAAAAGACUUAUAUUUAGGAACGGAGGAAGUAGAUCAGAAUAGAUAGUGUUUCAUACUUGUGAAGAAGUUAUUGAAUUUUGGUUAUGUCUAGAUCCGUAUGUAUUCUUGUGUUACCUCUUGACUUUAGGCACAAACCCAUCAACAAUUAAUCUAUUACAUAUUUUAGUUUUUGAAAUUAUUGGACACACCAUUCAAUGUUUGCACCAUUGUUUAGGUUACCGUAUGAUAGCUUGGUUUUGGAUUACAUAUUCAUUCAAAUAAUAAGUAAAAAUUCUCAUAUCAUAACUUUGGUUUCAGCCCAAAAUGUUAAGCCUAAAAAUUUGAUGCCGACCACAAUGGAAGAAGUAUAAUUAAAAUUUAAGACAUUGGUAUACACCAUGCACUUACUAUGGUAUUAGAAAUUCAAUAUCACGGGUAUAUACCGGUUUUUUUGUUAUUAUUUGCUCCACAUGCUUCAUCUGGUUAAGUAGUCCGAUGACAUCUGUCAUUUUGGUGAUUAACUACCCAUAGUUAGAAUGAUUGAUUAAACCGAAAUCUGAUUUUUAUCUGUAACAUACCGAGCAUUGCUUACCUUUAUAUGCUUCUUGUUGUAGUAUAUCCUUGGUAUGGGACUCAAAGUAGUAAUUUUGAAAAACCUCCAAUAAUCCUACAUAUGUCAAUUUUGUGAUUAAUUACCACAUAGUUAGAAUGAUGGAUUAGCCCAAAAUCUGAUUUACAACUAUGACAUACCUGAGCCUUGUUUAUCUUUUUAUGCUUGUUAUUGUAGUAUGUCCUUGGUAGCAAACUCUAGUAAUUAGGAAAAUCUUCCGAUGAUACUUUUGAUCCUUUCACCUCCUUUCUCUUAGUAUUGUAUGCAAAAAUUAAUCUAAUAUCAUUGUUCAGUGGGCCAUAGUUUGUGCCUUCCACAACCUUAAUAUGCUAAAUGGGUAAAUAGAUUUCUCAGUUAUCCUUUGAUCUAUAAGUAUCUAUCCGAUUUUUACGUAUAGUAGCAUGAGUUGUUUGGUCCUCUAUCAAAAUAACUAAAAUAUAUACUUAUCGACUGUUGUUUGAACCAUAGAAUAGUCUGUAUUUAAAAUUUAUAGAAUAAACCUGCUCAUCUGUUAAGAUCACAUCAAGAUUCACUUAUCGAUUAUUUUUGGAACAAUAGAACGGUCUGCAAUUAAAUAUGUAUAGCAUAAACCUGUUCAUCCAUCAAGAUCACAUCAAGGCUCAUAAGUUCAUCAGUUGUAGGAUUGAUUAUAUCCCAUGUUCAUGUUACUUUCACUUAAAAAUCCCAGUUUUGGUCUCUUGUUGAAGUCUCUCAGCUUCUUGUAUUCCCAGGCAUUUUCAGUUGAAAAGGAUUAAAACACACUGCUUCAAAAGGAUUGAAAAAGUAGUUGUCAAUUGAUAAUGUGCAUAUGAAGAUUGUAGCUGACAAAAGUGAGUUCAUAGUAAUAAUAAUUACUAACCAUGUUGAUUCAGGUGAGAAGAAAACUCAGACGGUUGGGUGUGACUUACGUAGAAAUCCAGUUGCAUGCCACUUCAUAAUUUGGGCUGGCUUCGAUAUUUGCGGAGCGCCAAGUCCAAACAUCUUGCAUCACAGAGUCUGUUGGCUUCAACUGUCCUGGUGGUGGCAUCGUCGGCAUCAUAGAGUUGGCUGGCUUCAAUUUUCCUCAUAAAAUAUGUAUAGCAUAAACCUAUUCAUCCAUCAAGAUCAGAUCAAGGCUCAUAAGUUCAUGAGUUGUAGGAUUGAUUAUAUCCCAUGUUCUUGUUACUUUCACUUAAAAAUCCCAGUUUUGGUCUCUUGUUGAAGUCUCUCAGCUUCUUGUAUUCCCAGGCAUUUUCAGUUGAAAAGGAUUAAAACACACUGCUUCAAAAGGAUUGAAAAAGUAGUUGUCAAUUGAUAAUGUGCAUAUGAAGAUUGUAGCUGACAAAAGUGAGUUCAUAGUAAUAAUAAUUACUAACCAUGUUGAUUCAGGUGAGAAGAAAACUCACACAGUUGGGUGUGACUUACGUAGAAAUCCAGUUGCAUGCCACUUCAUAAUUUGAGCUGGCUUCGAUAUUUGCGGAGCGCCAAGUCCAAACAUCUCGCAUCACAGAGUCUGUUGGCUUCAACUGUCCUGGUGGUGGCAUCGUCGGCAUCGUAGAGUUGGUUGGCUUCAAUUUUCCUCGUAAAAUAUGUAUAGCAUAAACCUAUUCAUCCAUCAAGAUCAGAUCAAGGCUCAUAAGUUCAUUAGUUGUAGGAUUGAUUAUAUCCCAUGUUCUUGUUACUUUCACUUAAAAAUCCCAGUUUUGGUCUCUUGUUGAAGUCUCUCAGCUUCUUGUAUUCCCAGGCAUUUUCAGUUGAAAAGGAUUAAAACACACUGCUUCAAAAGGAUUGAAAAAGUAGUUGUCAAUUGAUAAUGUGCAUAUGAAGAUUGUAGCUGACAAAAGUGAGUUCAUAGUAAUAAUAAUUACUAACCAUGUUGAUUCAGGUGAGAAGAAAACUCAGACGGUUGGGUGUGACGUACGUAGAAAUCCAGUUGCAUGCUACUUCAUAAUUUGUGCUGGCUUCGAUAUUUGCGGAGCGCCAAGUCCAAACAUCUCGCAUCACAGAGUCUGUUGGCUCCAACUAUCCUGGUGGUGGCAUCGUCGGCAUCGUAGAGUUGGUUGGCUUCAAUUUUCCUCGUCGUGUCGCUGAGUCGUGAGUUGCUGGGCAUCUUAGAUUUCCAGACUGAAGAUGGGCGUGUUUGGCUGCUGGGUGUGGUCGGCCGUGAAUUUUUAUGGAUGAGUUCUGGCCGUCCUUAUGGAGUCCUUGUAUGUUUAUAUUUCCAAUUAAACGCUAUGUGCUAUGUGCGAAUAGUCUGAUGGAUGCGGCCAGCCGUGUAUUUUUGGGGGCGUGUCCGUAUGCACUCCUUUUGGCUGACCAAGUUACUAAUGUGUCCUUCUGACUUCCGAUUAGGAAUUUUACGUGACAAUAGUUGGAUAUGCAACCUCCACUGUCCAUAUCUAAUAUUAGUUUUGUAGAGAUAAUUUAAUCUUUGGUUUUUUUUUGAACCGGUGCUUCCUUCUAUGACUCCAUUGAUGUACCUUAUGCAUGUGUCGUAUGCAUAUAGACGUGACAGUUCAAUUUCCUGAAACGUACAUAUUCACAUGUACGUAAAAUCUUUAAAUCUGAGCCAUUGUUAUUUUGAUCAAGCGGUGGUAAUAAUAUAGUCUAUG